GUCUGUGGCCAUGCCACCUUGAACAAACCCGAUGUCUGAUCUCGGAAGCUAAGUAGGGUAGGGCCUGGUUAGUACUUGGAUACUUGGAUGGGAGACCAUCUAGGAAGACUAGGUGCUGUAGGCA
rnacentral:rRNA from 1 species